rnacentral:rRNA from 1 species
GUAGGGUGCGAGCGUUAAUCGGAAUUACUGGGCGUAAAGUGUGCGCAGGCGGCGUUGCAAGUCGAGUGUGAAAUCCCCGAGCUUAACUUGGGAAUUGCGCUCGAAACUACGAUGCUCGAGUAUGGCAGAGGAAGGUGGAAUUCCACGUGUAGCGGUGAAAUGCGUAGAGAUGUGGAGGAACACCGAUGGCGAAGGCAGCCUUCUGGGCCAAUACUGACGCUCAUGCACGAAAGCGUGGGGAGCAAACAGGAUUAGAUACCCUGGUAGUCCACGCCCUAAACGAUGCGAACUGGACGUUGGGAGCAACUAGGCUCUCAGUGUCGAAGCUAACGCGUUAAGUUCGCCGCCUGGGGAGUACGGUCGCAAGACUG